rnacentral:lncRNA from 1 species
CACCCCAAAUGACCACCCUCAGGAUGCGCUAAGGCUCACUGUUCUGGGAGCCAUUCUCAUUCAUCAGGACUUCAGCAAGAAUGGCCAGAAAUCGACAUCGCUGGGACAGGUGGGCUGUCUGGAGCUGAUCGCCACAAGGGCUGGAGGCUGUCACCUACUGCUCCCUCUGCCUGCCCCACCAGCUAGCUGGCCGUGACGUCCAGGACCUCAC